UUAAGUUAUUAAGGGCGCACGGUGGAUGCCUUGGCACUAGAAGCCGAUGAAGGACGUUACUAACGACGAUAUGCUUUGGGGAGCUGUAAGUAAGCUUUGAUCCAGAGAUUUCCGAAUGGGGAAACCCAGCAUGAGUUAUGUCAUGUUAUCGAUAUGUGAAUACAUAGCAUAUCAGAAGGCACACCCGGAGAACUGAAACAUCUUAGUACCCGGAGGAAGAGAAAGAAAAUUCGAUUCCCUUAGUAGCGGCGAGCGAAACGGGAAGAGCCCAAACCAACAAGCUUGCUUGUUGGGGUUGUAGGACACUCUAUACGGAGUUACAAAGGACGACAUUAGACGAAUCAUCUGGAAAGAUGAAUCAAAGAAGGUAAUAAUCCUGUAGUCGAAAAUGUUGUCUCUCUUGAGUGGAUCCUGAGUACGACGGAGCACGUGAAAUUCCGUCGGAAUCUGGGAGGACCAUCUCCCAAGGCUAAAUACUCUCUAGUGACCGAUAGUGAACCAGUACCGUGAGGGAAAGGUGAAAAGCACCCCGGAAGGGGAGUGAAAUAGAACCUGAAACCGUGUGCUUACAAGUAGUCAGAGCCNGUUAAUGGGUGAUGGCGUGCCUUUUGUAGAAUGAACCGGCGAGUUACGAUUUGAUGCAAGGUUAAGCAGUAAAUGUGGAGCCGUAGCGAAAGCGAGUCUGAAUAGGGCGUUUAGUAUUUGGUCGUAGACCCGAAACCAGGUGAUCUACCCUUGGUCAGGUUGAAGUUCAGGUAACACUGAAUGGAGGACCGAACCGACUUACGUUGAAAAGUGAGCGGAUGAACUGAGGGUAGCGGAGAAAUUCCAAUCGAACCUGGAGAUAGCUGGUUCUCUCCGAAAUAGCUUUAGGGCUAGCCUCAAGUGAUGAUUAUUGGAGGUAGAGCACUGUUUGGACGAGGGGCCCCUCUCGGGUUACCGAAUUCAGACAAACUCCGAAUGCCAAUUAAUUUAACUUGGGAGUCAGAACAUGGGUGAUAAGGUCCGUGUUCGAAAGGGAAACAGCCCAGACCACCAGCUAAGGUCCCAAAAUAUAUGUUAAGUGGAAAAGGAUGUGGCGUUGCCCAGACAACUAGGAUGUUGGCUUAGAAGCAGCCAUCAUUUAAAGAGUGCGUAAUAGCUCACUAGUCGAGUGACACUGCGCCGAAAAUGUACCGGGGCUAAACAUAUUACCGAAGCUGUGGAUUGUCCUUUGGACAAUGGUAGGAGAGCGUUCUAAGGGCGUUGAAGCAUGAUCGUAAGGACAUGUGGAGCGCUUAGAAGUGAGAAUGCCGGUGUGAGUAGCGAAAGACGGGUGAGAAUCCCGUCCACCGAUUGACUAAGGUUUCCAGAGGAAGGCUCGUCCGCUCUGGGUUAGUCGGGUCCUAAGCUGAGGCCGACAGGCGUAGGCGAUGGAUAACAGGUUGAUAUUCCUGUACCACCUAUAAUCGUUUUAAUCGAUGGGGGGACGCAGUAGGAUAGGCGAAGCGUGCGAUUGGAUUGCACGUCUAAGCAGUAAGGCUGAGUAUUAGGCAAAUCCGGUACUCGUUAAGGCUGAGCUGUGAUGGGGAGAAGACAUUGUGUCUUCGAGUCGUUGAUUUCACACUGCCGAGAAAAGCCUCUAGAUAGAAAAUAGGUGCCCGUACCGCAAACCGACACAGGUAGUCAAGAUGAGAAUUCUAAGGUGAGCGAGCGAACUCUCGUUAAGGAACUCGGCAAAAUGACCCCGUAACUUCGGGAGAAGGGGUGCUCUUUAGGGUUAACGCCCAGAAGAGCCGCAGUGAAUAGGCCCAAGCGACUGUUUAUCAAAAACACAGGUCUCUGCUAAACCGUAAGGUGAUGUAUAGGGGCUGACGCCUGCCCGGUGCUGGAAGGUUAAGAGGAGUGGUUAGCUUCUGCGAAGCUACGAAUCGAAGCCCCAGUAAACGGCGGCCGUAACUAUAACGGUCCUAAGGUAGCGAAAUUCCUUGUCGGGUAAGUUCCGACCCGCACGAAAGGCGUAACGAUUUGGGCACUGUCUCAACGAGAGACUCGGUGAAAUCAUAGUACCUGUGAAGAUGCAGGUUACCCGCGACAGGACGGAAAGACCCCGUGGAGCUUUACUGUAGCCUGAUAUUGAAAUUCGGCACAGCUUGUACAGGAUAGGUAGGAGCCUUUGAAACGUGAGCGCUAGCUUACGUGGAGGCGCUGGUGGGAUACUACCCUAGCUGUGUUGGCUUUCUAACCCGCACCACUUAUCGUGGUGGGAGACAGUGUCAGGCGGGCAGUUUGACUGGGGCGGUCGCCUCCUAAAAGGUAACGGAGGCGCUCAAAGGUUCCCUCAGAAUGGUUGGAAAUCAUUCAUAGAGUGUAAAGGCAUAAGGGAGCUUGACUGCGAGACCUACAAGUCGAGCAGGGUCGAAAGACGGACUUAGUGAUCCGGUGGUUCCGCAUGGAAGGGCCAUCGCUCAACGGAUAAAAGCUACCCCGGGGAUAACAGGCUUAUCUCCCCCAAGAGUUCACAUCGACGGGGAGGUUUGGCACCUCGAUGUCGGCUCAUCGCAUCCUGGGGCUGUAGUCGGUCCCAAGGGUUGGGCUGUUCGCCCAUUAAAGCGGUACGCGAGCUGGGUUCAGAACGUCGUGAGACAGUUCGGUCCCUAUCCGUCGUGGGCGUAGGAAAUUUGAGAGGAGCUGUCCUUAGUACGAGAGGACCGGGAUGGACAUACCUCUGGUGUACCAGUUGUCGUGCCAACGGCAUAGCUGGGUAGCUAUGUGUGGACGGGAUAAGUGCUGAAAGCAUCUAAGCAUGAAGCCCCCCUCAAGAUGAGAUUUCCCAACUUCGGUUAUAAGAUCCCUCAAAGAUGAUGAGGUUAAUAGGUUCGAGGUGGAAGCAUGGUGACAUGUGGAGCUGACGAAUACUAAUCGAUCGAAGACUUAAUCAA
rnacentral:rRNA from 1 species